CCUGCUGAAUUUAAGCAUA
rnacentral:rRNA from 1 species